GCCAGUGUGGCGUAGUGGUUUGAGUGUAGGACUAUAACCCUGGAGACCAGGGUUUGAUUCCCAGCUCAGCCA